UUUUUAUGUGAGUAUAAAUCUAAAAGCUGUGAGUUCAAAGUCUUAUGAAUUCAACUCUUAAUUGCUACGACUACGAAUUCAGGUUUGUGGGUACGAGUCGAAAAGCGUUGAAAUGACGUCACUCGGGUCACAGGCAGGUCACAGGGGAAAGUGAUCGAACCGCGAUUUUCCCAACUGCGCAUGCUCCAAAUCCAAAGAUGGCUGACGACAGUGAACGUGGCGACUCAGCAUCGCAGAACAAAAGGGCCCCAGCAACAACAGUGUUACCCCAGAAGGCCUGACUGUGGGACGCAUCAUGCAGUGGACUGGACAAAGACACAAGCCUGUUCUGCCAAGCGAAAAGAAGGACUUUGCCACACAUAUGAAACUCCACCAUGACUGCGACACUGAACACACCGUUUGUUUUCCAGCUGUACAAAACCAAGGAGUUGGUGGUUGACUUCAGGAGGAACAGACCCCAUCCCACACCGGUCUCCAUCGAGGGCACGCAGGUGGAGGUGGUGAGGACGUACAAGUAACUGGGUCUGCAGAUGGAUGACAAACUGGACUGGUCAGUGCUCAUGGACACCAUCCACAGGAAGACACAGUCGUCUGUAUUUCCUGAGGAGCCUGAAGUCCAUCUGCAAAAAACUGCUGCUGAUGUUCUAGCAGACUGUGGUGGCCAGAGUCCUCUUCUAUGCUGUGGUGUGCUGGAGAGGCAGCAAGAUAAGAUCCUGUCCAUACUGGACCACGCCUCCCACCCUCUGCACAGGACUCUGAUCAGUCAGAGGAGUGUGUUCAGCACCAGGCUGCUGUCUCUGACCUGCUCCACAUCUCUGGGUACUCAGGGCUCACGAUCCCAGCGUCAGUCUGUGCCUGAGUCACAUCAGGCGUAAAAAUCACAUUUAUUUAUUGGACAUUUAUUCCACUAUGGCACCUUACCUUAUAUUGUUUUGCACAAUUAACCUGCACUUUAUAACUAAUUUCUGAGUAGC